AUACGGAGGAUCCGAGCGUUAUCCGGAUUUAUUGGGUUUAAAGGGUGCGCAGGCGGCCAUUUAAGUCAGCGGUUAAAUCGUGGGGCUCAACCCCAUUCUGCCGUUGAUACUGGGUGGCUUGAUUGCGGUCGAGGUUGGCGGAAUUCGUUGUGUAGCGGUGAAAUGCAUAGAUAUGACGAAGAACACCGAUUGCGUAGGCAGCUGACCAGACCGCAAAUGACGCUCAUGCACGAAAGUGCGGGGAUCGAACAGGAUUAGAUACCCUGGUAGUCCGCACAGUAAACGAUGAAUACUUGGUUUCGGCGAUAUAAUGUCGGAGGCAAAGCGAAAGCGAUAAGUAUUCCACCUGGGGAGUACGCCGGCAACGGUGAAACUCAAAGGAAUUGGCGGGG
rnacentral:rRNA from 1 species